rnacentral:rRNA from 4 species
GGACCAAGGAGUCUAGCAUGUGCGCGAGUCAUUGGGAUUCAGCGAAACCUAAAGGCGAAAUGAAAGUGAAGGUUGGCCUCGCGCCGACCUAGGGAGGAUGGGCGGCUCCACAAGGGCCGUCCCGCACUCCCGGGGCGUCUCCAUCUCAUUGCGAGAAGAGGCGCACCCAGAGCGUACACGCUGGGACCCGAAAGAUGGUGAACUAUGCCUGGUCAGGACGAAGUCAGGGGAAACCCUGAUGGAGGUCCGUAGCGAUUCUGACGUGCAAAUCGAUCGUCGGAACUGGGUAUAGGGGCGAAAGACUAAUCGAACCAUCUAGUAGCUGGUUCCCUCCGAAGUUUCCCUCAGGAUAGCUGGCGCUCGCUUAAGCGAGUCUCAUCCGGUAAAGCGAAUGAUUAGAGGCAUUGGGGUCGAAACGGCCUCAACCUAUUCUCAAACUUUAAAUGGGUGAGAUCUCCGGCUUGCUCGAACUUGAAGCCGCGAGAUCUGAGGUGGCGUUUUAUGCGUCGCCUUAACUAGGAUCAGAGUGCCAAGUGGGCCACUUUUGGUAAGCAGAACUGGCGCUGUGGGAUGAACCAAACGCAGAGUUAAAGCGCCCAAAUCGACGCUUAUGGGAUACCAUGAAAGGCGUU